rnacentral:rRNA from 1 species
UGAGUGACGAUUAUGACGGUAACUCAAGAAUAAGGGUCGGCUAAAUACGUGCCAGCAGCCGCGGUCAUACGUAGGACCCAAGCGUUAUCCGGAAUCACUGGGCGUAAAGAGUUGCGUAGGUGGCUUGUUAAGCAGCGUGUGAAAGCGUACGGCUCAACCGUAUACACAUACACUGAACUGGCAAGCUUGAGGAUGAGAGAGGUUAUUGGAAUUCCAAGUGUAGGAGUGAAAUCCGUAGAUAUUUG